UACAGAGGUCUCAAGCGUUGUUCGGAUUCAUUGGGCGUAAAGGGUGCGUAGGCGGCGCGGUAAGUCGGGUGUGAAAUCUCGGAGCUUAACUCCGAAACUGCAUUCGAUACUGCCGUGCUUGAGGACUGGAGAGGAGACUGGAAUUUACGGUGUAGCGGUGAAAUGCGUAGAUAUCGUAAGGAAGACCAGUGGCGAAGGCGGGUCUCUGGACGGCUAUUGACGCUGAGACGCGAAAGCAUGGGGAGCAAACAGG
rnacentral:rRNA from 1 species